CUAUGACAGAACUCAGGUCAGCUGAUUUCCGUCAUUCCGUCGGAGUUUGUUUUGUUUAAUGCAAAUCGCGAUUCAAUGGUAGGUUGCGCCCUCUAUAAACAUUCGUUUUGUGACAUCUACACAAGUAGGUCGAAUCAGUGUAAACAGAAGGAAAUUUGUGUAGAUUCGUUAUUUUUGUUCGCAAGAAUGAUGGCUAAUAAUGAAAAUGGUGUAUUCCUAAGCCUCAAGGAGAUAUUUCGGAUCAUUUCCUACUAGCAGAAAUUUAUUUGAAGGAGGAGCAGUCUUGGAUGCCGGGCAUAUUAUGAUGUGUGGAAAUUUGGGAAAGAGCAGCAGAGUCAUUGAAAUUUUUGGUGUAUGUUUGCGAACAUCGGCCUCUUCUCAGAUCCUCACGAGAUUAAGGGGAAAAUUAUAAUCGAUGAAGAAUCAGCCAUAGAAUCAGCAUUUACCUGUUCUUGUAAGGCCGGUUUAGGAGGGAGGUGCAAACAUAUUUCAGCAAUUCUGGUUGUAUAAAUUCAAUGUAUUUGAUGUCUGAAUCAGGACUUACAAUUUGACAAUCAUAUAUACAUAAUAUAAUUGUUAGUUUUUUUGCUGUUCCUUGUGUUUUUUGUUUCAGGACUGACCUUCUCAAACUUGAGAAAAUUUCAAGCAAUGACCUAAAAUGCUGGUGGAAAAAGAAAAAAAAGAGACGAAAUCCAAAUAUCAAGCUCUUCCACUUCUGGAAACGAAUUGCUUAGAAGACAAAGCGUCCCCUGCACAUCAACUAUCAUCACAGGAUGAAGAAGAUAUAAGGAAAUUUUUUAUAAAUAAGAUGCCUUCAUCCAGCAUUGCAUCUCACAAGAAAAUAACUAUAAUCUCAUUUGAACCUUUGAAACUAUAAUGAUUUAUUUUCAGAAUGAAGAAUUAGAAAUGCAAAAAAUUCUGAUUCUCUGAAGAAUUUCUAUAAAUUUGGCCCACAAAUGAAUUUCAAAUGCCCUCAGUGUAUUAUCACAUACAAUGAAUUGGCUUUGUUCAAUUCUUUGAAUGUAUGUAUGACAACUGAAUACAAUAAGGCUCUCCGGAAGCAAGAAAGAAAAUUUCGAGUCACUGGUUCUCGAUGCUAUGAUCUGUAUAAGUAUACCUAUUCGAAAAAUUAAUGGGAAGAGAAAUGUAGAACAUAUUUCUAUCCCAAGCAAUUUUUGAAUGUUUAUACCAGACAUGGUAUAAAAUAUGAACUAUUGGCUCCAGAAAUUUUCGAAAAGAAGACGGGGUUGUCAGUACUGAAGAUGGGCCUAAUAAUAUGCAGAAGCAAACCUUGGAAAACAUUACAUUCGUUCAAAUAGUUGAGUUUCUGUGACAUUUUAAAUUAAAGAAUUAAGUAUGAAUAUGUUAUGUUUUUUCAUUAAUUAAAGAAUUAUGUAUGUAUG